UACGUAGGGGGCAAGCGUUGUCCGGAUUUAUUGGGCGUAAAGAGCGUGUAGGCGGCCAUGCAGGUCAGCUGUGAAAACUUGAGGCUCAACCUCGAGAUGUCGGUUGAAACCGUGUGGCUAGAGUCCGGAAGAGGAGAGUGGAAUUCCCGGUGUAGCGGUGAAAUGCGCAGAUAUCGGGAAGAACACCCGUGGCGAAGGCGGCUCUCUGGGACGGUACUGACGCUGAGACGCGAAAGCGUGGGGAGCGAACAGG
rnacentral:rRNA from 1 species